rnacentral:rRNA from 1 species
GAUGAACGCUGGCGGCGUGCCUAAUACAUGCAAGUCGAACGAAACUUCUUUAUCACCGAGUGCUUGCACUCACCGACAAAGAGUUGAGUGGCGAACGGGUGAGUAACACGUGGGCAACCUGCCCAAAAGAGGGGGAUAACACUUGGAAACAGGUGCUAAUACCGCAUAACCAUAGUUACCGCAUGGUAACUAUGUAAAAGGUGGCUAUACUACCGCUUUUGGAUGGGCCCGCGGCGCAUUAGCUAGUUGGUAGGGUAAAGGCUUACCAAGGCAAUGGUGCGUCGCCGAAGGAAGGGGUGGAUCGCCCACAGUGGCACUGAACCACGCCCAAAACCCCUCCGGGAGGCACAAGUAGGGAGUCUUCAACAAGGGGAGAAACCCUUAUGGAGCAACCCCGGGGGGGGGAAGAGGGUUUGGGGAUCUAAAAACCUUUUGUUUGGAGAAAAAGGGGCGGGAGGUUAACUUUUCACGUUUCGACGGUAUCUAACAAGAAGCCCCCGGCAAACUACGUC